GCGCCGGUGGUCCAGUGGUAGGACAUUGGCUUCCCAAGCCAAUAGCCCGGGUUCAAUUCCCGGCCGGCGCA
rnacentral:tRNA from 2 species